rnacentral:rRNA from 1 species
UACGUAGGCAGCAAGCGUUGUUCGGAGUUACUGGGCGUAAAGCGCACGUAGGUCGGAUUGUUAAGUCAGGGGUGAAAUCCUGGAGCUCAACUCCAGAACUGCCUUUGAUACUGGCGAUCUUGAGUCCGGGAGAGGUGAGUGGAACUGCGAGUGUAGAGGUGAAAUUCGUAGAUAUUCGCAAGAACACCAGUGGCGAAGGCGGCUCACUGGCCCGGUACUGACGCUGAGGUGCGAAAGCGUGGGGAGCAAACAGG